UGUGAGAUAAGGACAUGGCACCAAAGACAACAUGUUUUGUUUGCAUGAUUUCCCUGAAAGGGAAUCUGAAAGAUAAAAUAUAUACAGCAAUAGUAGUAUACAAGUCACCGUUGUCCAAGCAAAACCAAGUGUUUAAACCCCCUCUCAUUCCUUCCCAGAAGUUCCACCUACCAUGAACCAAACUCACUUCUCCUUCUAAUGGGGUGGCUUCACUCCCUCGUCUCCCCACUCAAGAAGCUCUGGGAUCGUCUUCACUCAGGCCACAAAAAACGGAGAGGGAUAUAUAUCUUAUACAAGGAUGUGAAGUCCUGUCCAUGUGAAGAUGUGCAUGUUUUAUGGUCAAUACUGGUGGAGUCAGGCACAGCUUCUUUGCCACCAAAAUGAAGUCUCCCUACACUCUCUCCCCUGCCUCAAGAUGAUAACUUUAUUUCAAUGUACAUGACUUUCAUAACAUAUAUAUAUAUAUAUACAUAUAUAUAUUAUGUAUAAAUACACAUAAAUGAUCCCACUUCCUUUUCCUGCUUUGUGUAACAACCUUGUAUCAUAUGGGGUUCCCAUAAAAGCUGUAAUAUUUAUGAUUAGAUGAAAUACUUAUGCAUUUUCUGCA